AAUCCUAAUUCUAAUAGAAUACUAACAAUACUCUAAUUAGAAUAUAAUAAUGCUAAGCAAGCUUAAUCAAAUUCAAAAAAAUCUCAAAGAAAUUUCAAACAAACAAUAGGAAUUUUUAAAGAAACAUUAGAAAGAACACAAAUGUCAUUCAAAUACAUCUCAAUUCAAUCUUAAUUUAAUUUUAGUUAAAAUCCUAUUGAACUUCAUUCAAACUUUAAGCCAAACUAAUUAAAUCUUAAAUCCUAAUAAAAUCCUAAAUUCUAAAUCAAACCCUAACCAAAACCUAAACCAAAUCCUAAAUCUAAAAUCAAACCCUAACCAAAGCCUAAAUCAUAAAUCAAAUCCUAACGAAACCCUAAAUCCUAAAUCAAAUCCUAAUCAAACUCUAAACCAAAUCCUAAUCCAAAUCCUAAAUCCUAAACCAAACCCUAAUCAAAUCCUAAGUCAAAUCCUAAUCCAAAUCCUAAACCAAACUCUAAUCCAAAUCCUAAUUCGAACCCUAAAUCCUAAACCAAAUCCUAAUCAAAUCCUAAACCCUAAAUCAAACUCUAUCUAAUUCCUAAAUCCUAAAUCAAACUCUAAUCCAAAUCCUAAAUCCUAAACCAAAUCCUAACCAAAUUCUAAACCCUAAAUCAAACCCUAAUCCAAAUCUUAGACCCCAAACCAA
rnacentral:lncRNA from 1 species